rnacentral:misc_RNA from 1 species
CGAUUUUUAAAUAAAUUUAAUAAAUUUACAAAUUACACUAAAAACUUUAUCACCCUAAAAAAUUAGCUACUUCAAUCAAAUCCAAGUUGACAGGACUCUGAAACGAGCCUCGAAAAGCAUUAGAAUGCCAAGAUCCUUGCUCAAUACUAAUGAUGUUUGGGCAAAACAGCCGGGGGAUAGCACGUUACAAUCCUUUUUUUUUUUUCCUUUGAAAUUAAUCUACAGGCUACAGUCCACUUAAAGACGAUUCACUUUGUGUUAUGAUAGAACCAAGCUCCAGAUGCACGGUAGGAGCAGAUUUAUCUGAAAUUACCAGAACAUUCCAACGAGCGCAGCAACUUCGAGCAUCAUCAUAUUCAUGUCUUCUUGGAUCUUGGUUAUCAAUUAUGAAUCUCUCUUGACGGCUCUGGCAAACCACAAUUUUGCUUUAUUUAUAUUGGAAAACCCAAAACAUUUCAUAAUAUGAACAAUCAAACAUCCAACAGACUUCGAAGUAAAUCAUCAUAAGCUGAAAAUACCAAAGCAGUUCCACAAAAAUGAAACUCAGUAAGCCUCAAAGAAAGUGUUCAACAAAAGUAGCAAAAAACAAUUGUAUCAAAAUAGGCAAAUCUUACAAUAGAAAAUAAAAUUUGGAUGAUAGAAACGACAAACUGUGUCAAAAAGAUCAACGGUAGCGUCGGAGAGAAAGUGUGUUGUUCCUCUUCCAGGUUGCCCUUCUUGAAGGUCUUGCUUUGUGGUGCAAGUGCCCCUUGCCACGCAGACCUCUAUACUUCUUCCCUGCAGAAGUAAGCCCACGAAGCUCCCUGUGCUUGUGGACAGGAUUGCAGAUCCAGUUGAUCCUUGGAUCAUUGCGGAUAGCAUUGUGUGCAGGAUCAACCAAGAUUACCUCAUAGUACUUAUAUGUUGAAUCCUCAUUGAGCCAAUAAGAGUUGAGAACCUUAAGGCCACCAAGCUUCCUACCAGCACGCUCCUCUGCAACUGAGCGCUUGCUGCGUUGGAACUUCAGCUGAGUAACACCCUGAUUUGUGGGUUUCCCAUACACAAUACCCUUGGGCACUGGUCUCUUCCUUCCACCACGCCUCACACGCACACGAUAUAUCACAUAACCCUGCUUGGCCUUGUAACCCAAGCGGCGAGCCUUGUCAGGGCGGGUGGGGUGCGUGACACGCACAAUGGAAGGAUGCUGGCGAUACUCCCAGCACCUCACCCUCUGCAGGAACCUCAUCACAUCCGAUUGUUUCUUCCUCCAUAGCUCCGACACGUACUUGUACGCACCCAUUAUUUUUUCUUUGAGAUUCCUUUGCUCUCUGGUUUC